rnacentral:rRNA from 1 species
CCGGCACGAGUGAGUAACACGUAUCCAACCUGCCGUCUACUCUUGGACAGCCUUCUGAAAGGAAGAUUAAUACAAGAUGGCAUCAUGAGUCCGCAUGUUCACAUGAUUAAAGGUAUUCCGGUAGACGAUGGGGAUGCGUUCCAUUAGAUAGUAGGCGGGGUAACGGCCCACCUAGUCUUCGAUGGGUAGGGGUUCUGAGAGGAAGGUCCCCCACAUUGGAACUGAGACACGGUCCAA